rnacentral:rRNA from 1 species
AGGGCGGGACACGUGUUAUCCUGUCUGAAUAUGGGGGGACCAUCCUCCAAGGCUAAAUACUCCUGACUGACCGAUAGUGAACCAGUACCGUGAGGGAAAGGCGAAAAGAACCCCUGUGAGGGGAGUGAAAUAGAACCUGAAACCGUGUACGUACAAGCAGUAGGAGCACCUUCGUGGUGUGACUGCGUACCUUUUGUAUAAUGGGUCAGCGACUUAUAUUCAGUGGCAAGGUUAACCAUCUAGGGGAGCCGUAGGGAAACCGAGUCUUAACUGGGCGCCAUAGUCUCUGGAUAUAGACCCGAAACCGAGUGAUCUAGCCAUGGGCAGGUUGAAGGUUGAGUAACAUCAACUGGAGGACCGAACCGACUAAUGUUGAAAAAUUAGCGGAUGACUUGUGGCUAGGGGUGAAAGGCCAAUCAAACUCGGAGAUAGCUGGUUCUCCCCGAAAGCUAUUUAGGUAGCGCCUCGGACGAAUACUACUGGGGGUAGAGCACUGUUAAGGCUAGGGGGUCAUCCCGACUUACCAACCCUUUGCAAACUCCGAAUACCAGUAAGUACUAUCCGGGAGACACACGGCGGGUGCUAACGUCCGUCGUGGAGAGGGAAACAACCCAGACCGCCAGCUAAGGUCCCAAAUUACAGCUAAGUGGGAAACGAUGUGGGAAGGCUUAGACAGCUAGGAUGUUGGCUUAGAAGCAGCCAUCAUUUAAAGAAAGCGUAAUAGCUCACUAGUCGAGUCGGCCUGCGCGGAAGAUGUAACGGGGCUAAGUUGUAAACCGAAGCUGCGGCAAUGUUCUUUGAACAUUGGGUAGGGGAGCGUUCUGUAAGCCGUUGAAGGUGUGUUGUAAAGCAUGCUGGAGGUAUCAGAAGUGCGAAUGCUGACAUGAGUAACGACAAGGGGGGUGAAAAACCUCCCCGCCGGAAGACCAAGGGUUCCUGUCCAACGUUAAUCGGGGCAGGGUAAGUCGACCCCUAAGGCGAGGCCGAAAGGCGUAGUCGAUGGGAAACGGGUUAAUAUUCCCGUACUUCUUACAAUUGCGAUG